UACAGAGGUCUCAAGCGUUGUUCGGGAAUCACUGGGCGUAAAGGGUGUGUAGGCUGUGUGCUAAGUCAGAUGUGAAAGCCCGGGGCUCAACCUCGGAACUGCAUCCGAUACUGGCAUGCUAGAGAAUUGGAGAGGAGUCUAGAAUUCACGGUGUAGCAGUGAAAUGCGUAGAUAUCGUGAGGAAUACCAAGUGCGAAGGCAGGACUCUGGACAUUUUCUGACGCUGAGAGCACGAAGGCCAGGGGAGCAAACGGG
rnacentral:rRNA from 1 species